CAAAGGGAGAAAGAAUAGAAAAACCCUAAAGAGGAAAAAUUCAAGAGAAAUUCAUUGGAUUUUCGAAAAACGAAGCGAUCGGAGGUGGUGAGCCCUCUAGUAAGGGUAAGGAUAUCGUACCCGAGGAC